rnacentral:rRNA from 1 species
UCUGGACGAACGCUGGCGGCGUGCUUAACACAUGCAAGUCGAACGGAAAGGCCCUGCUUUUGUGGGGUGCUCGAGUGGCGAACGGGUGAGUAACACGUGAGUAACCUGCCCUUGACUUUGGGAUAACUUCUGGAAACUGGGGCUAAUACCGGAUAGGAGCUCCUGCUGCAUGGUGGGGGUUGGAAAGUUUCGGCGGUUGGGGAUGGACUCGCGGCUUAUCAGCUUGUUGGUGGGGUAGUGGCUUACCAAGGCUUUGACGGGUAGCCGGCCUGAGAGGGUGACCGGCCACAUUGGGACUGAGAUACGGCCCAGACUCCUACGGGAGGCAGCAGUGGGGAAUAUUGCACAAUGGGCGGAAGCCUGAUGCAGCAACGCCGCGUGCGGGAUGACGGCCUUCGGGUUGUAAACCGCUUUCGCCUGUGACGAAGCGUGAGUGACGGUAAUGGGUAAAGAAGCACCGGCUAACUACGUGCCAGCAGCCGCGGUGAUACGUAGGGUGCGAGCGUUGUCCGGAUUUAUUGGGCGUAAAGGGCUCGUAGGUGGUUGAUCGCGUCGGAAGUGUAAUCUUGGGGCUUAACCCUGAGCGUGCUUUCGAUACGGGUUGACUUGAGGAAGGUAGGGGAGAAUGGAAUUCCUGGUGGAGCGGUGGAAUGCGCAGAUAUCAGGAGGAACACCAGUGGCGAAGGCGGUUCUCUGGGCCUUUCCUGACGCUGAGGAGCGAAAGCGUGGGGAGCGAACAGGCUUAGAUACCCUGGUAGUCCACGCUGUAAACGGUGGGUACUAGGUGUGGGGUCCAUUCCACGGGUUCCGUGCCGUAGCUAACGCUUUAAGUACCCCGCCUGGGGAGUACGGCCGCAAGGCUAAAACUCAAAGGAAUUGACGGGGCCCCGCACAAGCGGCGGAGCAUGCGGAUUAAUUCGAUGCAACGCGUAGAACCUUACCUGGGUUUGACAUGGAUCGGGAGUGCUCAGAGAUGGGUGUGCCUCUUUUGGGGUCGGUUCACAGGUGGUGCAUGGCUGUCGUCAGCUCGUGUCGUGAGAUGUUGGGUUAAGUCCCGCAACGAGCGCAACCCUUGUUCACUGUUGCCAGCACGUUAUGGUGGGGACUCAGUGGAGACCGCCGGGGUCAACUCGGAGGAAGGUGGGGAUGACGUCAAGUCAUCAUGCCCCUUAUGUCCAGGGCUUCACGCAUGCUACAAUGGCUGGUACAGAGAGUGGCGAGCCUGUGAGGGUGAGCGAAUCUCGGAAAGCCGGUCUCAGUUCGGAUUGGGGUCUGCAACUCGACCCCAUGAAGUCGGAGUCGCUAGUAAUCGCAGAUCAGCAACGCUGCGGUGAAUACGUUCCCGGGGCUUGUACACACCGCCCGUCAAGUCAUGAAAGUUGGUAACACCCGAAGCCGGUGGCCUAACCGUUGUGGGGGAGCCGUCGAAGGU